rnacentral:rRNA from 1 species
CCUACGGGAGGCAGCAGUGGGGAAUCUUGCGCAAUGGGCGAAAGCCUGACGCAGCCAUGCCGCGUGAAUGAUGAAGGUCUUAGGAUUGUAAAAUUCUUUCACCGGGGACGAUAAUGACGGUACCCGGAGAAGAAGCCCCGGCUAACUUCGUGCCAGCAGCCGCGGUAAUACGAAGGGGGCUAGCGUUGCUCGGAAUUACUGGGCGUAAAGGGAGCGUAGGCGGAUAGUUUAGUCAGAGGUGAAAGCCCAGGGCUCAACCUUGGAAUUGCCUUUGAUACUGGCUAUCUUGAGUAUGGGAGAGGUUAGCGGAACUCCGAGUGUAGAGGUGAAAUUCGUAGAUAUUCGGAAGAACACCAGUGGCGAAGGCGGCUAACUGGCCCAUUACUGACGCUGAGGCUCGAAAGCGUGGGGAGCAAACAGGAUUAGAUACCCUGGUAGUCCACGCCGUAAACGAUGAGUGCUAGUUGUCGGCAUGCAUGCAUGUCGGUGACGCAGCUACGACAUUAAGACACCUCCGCCGUCGGGGAGGUACGGGUCGGCGAAGAAGUUAAAACGUUAAAAGGUAAAGUUAGUUACGGACGUGAGACGUAGCCGACGGACGACGACGAGGGAGGAGG